AGUCAAGGUCCGGAGUCGAUGGGUUAUCAGCCUCUUCCCACCGACAUCAACUUGACCUGGC
rnacentral:sRNA from 1 species